AAACAAGCAAUGAAGAGAACAAGUAGUAACUAAAUUGGAGAAAACAGAAAGUUGCCGGUGGAUGAGAGGCGCAUGAUACAAUCGGUUAUGAAUACAUCUCAGAGCUUCGCACCCAACACAGUUUCAUUUUGAUAUGCAGAUGAAUUGCAAGUAGGCUGUGACGGAUUGGUACACGUUAUUGUACUGAGUGAUUAAGCGGGAAAAGCUGCAGCUGCAGUUUGAAAGUCAGAUACACUCAUUGAGACAGAUGAUGCGAGUUAUCUGUGAAUAAAGGUGGUACCACGAGUUCUAUGAGCCCUCGUCCUUUUG
rnacentral:ncRNA from 1 species